AUUCUAAGCAUUCACAGUGAACAGGAACAAAAACGGAAAUAAGGAGAACUGGAACUGUUCAGUGUGCCUUUUGUUCUCUUAAAAUGUAGGCUAAACAUGAACAAAGCUGAAUCUACUCAUAGUGACUUGUUGAAGCUGAAACACAUGAGUCUGUCUGUCCUCCCCAUGAACACAGCUGGACGCAACAGGACACAGAGGGCAAGUUACUGAUCCUCCAAAGAAAUCAGCCAGCCAAAACCUCCACUCCCCACCGGACUUGGCAGCUAACGCAGGUUACAGCAAAGGGAGGAAUUAUGUUUUUUCCCUUUUCCUCCUCCAUGCAUGUUUAAUCGGACUACUACCACCAUCCUGCUGGCUGGCAGACCAUCUGAAAAGUCUCUGUGGUGGUUAAAAGAUGUUAAAUGGAUCAAUAUUCCUGAAUUUGAAAUAUUGCUUCCCCUGUGUGUAGCUCAGGCACACAGAUUUCUGCACGGACAGCCGGCCCGAAGGGGAGGAUGGAGCUGGGAAUCUUAACUCUUAGUUAUGACUUGACGACAUCACACAAAAUAUGGCUUUCGCCAAAGUAAUGCUGCUGUUUAUUGGAUAGAGAAAUGACUAAGAGAUUCAAUUUUCAUUCUCAUUUAAGAUGAUGGCUGCCUGCCAGCUAGAGCAUGGAAGGAGAGGUGGGUGCUAGGCAGGCAGUCAGAUUUCCCAGUCAUUCUGUCUGAAAGAGGCAGAACUUCGUGAUUAAGGCCCAGCUUGGAAAUAAAUCUGCUUCCGCAAGCUGGCCGUGCCUCAACCUGGCCCAGCCUGACUGGAAAUAACUUCAGGCACAUUGGCAGAUAACUAAACUGAUUGAAUGUCACUCGGGCCUCUCAUUCUCUAUGCAACCAGAUGUGCUGUGAGCUACAUUUCAGGAAAGGGAAGGAUGUUCAUAGAGACCUUUCUCUUUGGUAAUAAAAAUCUAUCCAGGGGAGCUGUUAUUUUUCACACCAUCGCACCACCUCAUCCAUGCUUCAUGGUGGGAACCACACAUGCGAAGAUCAUCCAUUCACCUACUCUGCGUCUCACAAAGACAAGACUCAUCAGACCAAAGGACAUAUUUCCACCGGUCUAACGUUCAUUGCUUGUGUUUCUUGGCCCAAGAAUGUCUCUUCUUAUUGGUGUCCUUUAGUAGUGGUUUUUCUUUGCAGCAAUUCGACCAUGCAGGCCUAAUUCACACAGUCUCCUAUGAAAAGUGGAUGUUGAGAUGUGUCUGUUACUUGAACUCUGAAGCAUUUAUUUGGGCUGUAAUUUCUGAUGCUGGUAACUAAUGAACUUAUCCUCUGCAGCAGAGAUAACUCUGGGUAUUCCUUUCCUGUGGCAGUCCUUAUGAAAGCCAGUUUUAUCAUAGCUCUUGAUGGUUUUCCACAAAUUAACUUUUAACAAGGCACACCUGUUAAUUGAAAUGCAUUCCAGGUGACUACCUAAUGAAGCUGGUUGAGAGAAUGCCAACAGUGUGCAAAGCUGUCAUCAAGGCAAAGGGGAGCUACUUUGAAGAAUCUCAAAUAUAAAAUAUAUUUUGAUUUGUUUAACACUUUUUUGGUUACUACAUGAUUCCAUAUGUGUUAUAUUAUAGUUGAUGUCUUCACUUUUAUUCCACAAUGUAAAAAAUAGUAAAAAUAAAGAAAAACCUUGGAAUGAG